rnacentral:rRNA from 1 species
AGAGCGAACGCUGGCGGCAGGCCUAACACAUGCAAGUCGAGCGCCCGUAGCAAUACGGGAGCGGCAGACGGGAUAGUAACACGUGAGAACGCGCCCUUCGGUUCGGAAUAACUCAGGGAAACUUGAGCUAAUACCGGAUACGCCCUUACGGGGAAAGAUUUAUUGCCGAAGGAACGGCCCGCGUCCGAUUAGCUAGUUGGUGAGGUAAUGGCUCACCAAGGCGACGAUCGGUAGCUGGUCUGAGAGGAUGACCAGCAUCACUGGGACUGAGACACGGCCCAGACUCCUACGAGAGGCAGCAGUGGGAAUAUUGGACAAUGGGCGCAAGCCUGAUCCAGCCAUGCCGCGUGGAUGAUGAAGGCCUUAGGGUUGUAAAGUCCUUUAACGGGAAGAUAAUGACGGUACCCGUAGAAUAAGCCCGGCUAACUUCGUGCCAGCAGCCGC